rnacentral:lncRNA from 1 species
UUGAAUUAUCACAAAAAUAUGUGUUACUGAUGCAUUUAGCAUAAGUGGGUCCCGUAGAAGGUUGCGGAGUGGUCAGUCCUGGAUUGGGUACAGAGAUGAGUGUGCACUCAUUCUCUCAUGCAGGCUGUGCCAGACAAGCACCUGUUGGAUACUAAACAAGACUGCAGGCCUCUUGUGUGCACGUUUGUAGGUUAGGUUUUAGUGGUCCAAUUUCCAUUCUUUUACUGAGAGAAAAUAGGCAAUUCUUGAUUUUUCCUCCAGCACAGUCCAGAAGCGUGAGCUGGUGAAUCCCGCCAGUAUGAAGCAGGCCCUGAUCGCGUCAGCCCGGAGGCUCCCCGGGGUCAACAUGUUUGAGCAAGGCCACGGCAAGCUCGAUCUGCUCAGAGCCUAUCAGAUCCUCAACAGCUACAAGCCACAGGCAAGCCUGACUGGCAGCCCUAUUUGCCACAGAACGGAGACAACAUUGAAGUUGCCUUCUCCUACUCCUCGGUCUUAUGGCCUUGGUCGGGCUACCUGGCCAUCUCCAUUUCUGUGACCAAGAAAGCGGCUUCCUGGGAAGGCAUUGCUCAGGGCCAUGUCAUGAUCACUGUGGCUUCCCCAGC